GGAGAGGUACCCAAGAGGCUGAAGGGGUCGGUUUGCUAAAUCGAUAGGGGAGCGCAAGCUCCCGCGAGGGUUCAAAUCCCUCCCUCUCCGCCA
rnacentral:tRNA from 2 species